rnacentral:rRNA from 1 species
AUACGUACUGUGCGAACGUUAUUCGGAAUCACUGGGCUUAAAGGGUGUGUAGGCGGCUUUAUAAGUAGGAUGUGAAAUCUCUCGGCUUAACCGAGAAACUGCGUUCUAAACUGUAUAGCUUGAGUAAGAUAGGGGUGUGCGGAACCUCCGGUGGAGCGGUGAAAUGUGUUGAGCUCGGAGGGAACACCAGAAGCGAAGGCGGCACACUGGGUCUUAACUGACGCCGAGACACGAAAGCUAGGGUAGCGAACGGGAUUAGAAACCCCAGUAGUCC